AUUGAACGCUGGCGGCAUGCCUUACACAUGCAAGUCGAACGGUAACAGGUCUUCGGAUGCUGACGAGUGGCGAACGGGUGAGUAAUACAUCGGAACGUGCCUAGUAGUGGGGGAUAACUACUCGAAAGAGUGGCUAAUACCGCAUGAGAUCUACGGAUGAAAGCAGGGGAUCGCAAGACCUUGUGCUACUAGAGCGGCCGAUGGCAGAUUAGGUAGUUGGUGGGAUAAAAGCUUACCAAGCCGGCGAUCUGUAGCUGGUCUGAGAGGACGAUCAGCCACACUGGGACUGAGAAACGGCCCAGACUCCUACGGGAGGCAGCAGUGGGGAAUUUUGGACAAUGGACGCAAGCCUGAUCCAGCAAUGCCGCGUGCAGGAUGAAGGCCUUCGGGUUGUAAACUGCUUUUGUACGGAACGAAAAGCCCCGGGUUAAUACCCUGGGGUCAUGACGGUACCGUAAGAAUAAGCACCGGCUAACUACGUGCCAGCCGCCGCGGUAA
rnacentral:rRNA from 1 species